GACCGCGACCCCAGGUCAGACGGGACUACCCGCUGAGUUUAAGC
rnacentral:rRNA from 1 species